rnacentral:rRNA from 1 species
GCUGGCGGCAGGCCUAACACAUGCAAGUCGAGCGGUAGCACAGAGAGCUUGCUCUCGGGUGACGAGCGGCGGACGGGUGAGUAAUGUCUGGGAAACUGCCUGAUGGAGGGGGAUAACUACUGGAAACGGUAGCUAAUACCGCAUAAUGUCGCAAGACCAAAGUGGGGGACCUUCGGGCCUCAUGCCAUCAGAUGUGCCCAGAUGGGAUUAGCUAGUAGGUGGGGUAACGGCUCACCUAGGCGACGAUCCCUAGCUGGUCUGAGAGGAUGACCAGCCACACUGGAACUGAGACACGGUCCAGACUCCUACGGGAGGCAGCAGUGGGGAAUAUUGCACAAUGGGCGCAAGCCUGAUGCAGCCAUGCCGCGUGUGUGAAGAAGGCCUUCGGGUUGUAAAGCACUUUCAGCGGGGAGGAAGGCGUUAAGGUUAAUAACCUUGUCGAUUGACGUUACCCGCAGAAGAAGCACCGGCUAACUCCGUGCCAGCAGCCGCGGUAAUACGGAGGGUGCAAGCGUUAAUCGGAAUUACUGGGCGUAAAGCGCACGCAGGCGGUCUGUCAAGUCGGAUGUGAAAUCCCCGGGCUCAACCUGGGAACUGCAUUCGAAACUGGCAGGCUAGAGUCUUGUAGAGGGGGGUAGAAUUCCAGGUGUAGCGGUGAAAUGCGUAGAGAUCUGGAGGAAUACCGGUGGCGAAGGCGGCCCCCUGGACAAAGACUGACGCUCAGGUGCGAAAGCGUGGGGAGCAAACAGGAUUAGAUACCCUGGUAGUCCACGCCGUAAACGAUGUCGAUUUGGAGGUUGUGCCCUUGAGGCGUGGCUUCCGGAGCUAACGCGUUAAAUCGACCGCCUGGGGAGUACGGCCGCAAGGUUAAAACUCAAAUGAAUUGACGGGGGCCCGCACAAGCGGUGGAGCAUGUGGUUUAAUUCGAUGCAACGCGAAGAACCUUACCUGGUCUUGACAUCCACAGAACUUUCCAGAGAUGGAUUGGUGCCUUCGGGAACUGUGAGACAGGUGCUGCAUGGCUGUCGUCAGCUCGUGUUGUGAAAUGUUGGGUUAAGUCCCGCAACGAGCGCAACCCUUAUCCUUUGUUGCCAGCGGUUCGGCCGGGAACUCAAAGGAGACUGCCAGUGAUAAACUGGAGGAAGGUGGGGAUGACGUCAAGUCAUCAUGGCCCUUACGACCAGGGCUACACACGUGCUACAAUGGCAUAUACAAAGAGAAGCGACCUCGCGAGAGCAAGCGGACCUCAUAAAGUAUGUCGUAGUCCGGAUUGGAGUCUGCAACUCGACUCCAUGAAGUCGGAAUCGCUAGUAAUCGUAGAUCAGAAUGCUACGGUGAAUACGUUCCCGGGCCUUGUACACACCGCCCGUCACACCAUGGGAGUGGGUUGCAAAAGAAGUAGGUAGCUUAACCUUCGGGAGGGCGCUUACCACUUUGUGAUUCAUGACUGGGGUGAA